UGCGGGCCCACACAUCCAGGCUGUUGCUCCAAGCAACAGCCUGUUGGACCAAGCUCUCACAAGGCUAGCUUGGCCUCAGGCCAGGCUUGGGGAGUAGAACUUCCAGAACCCCAUCAAGCAGAGUGUGACUAACUUGCAGUUUGCUCUGGACAAUGAAUGUUUAUAUUAUUUGUGACGGAUUCCAAUGUUUCCAUACAGUUGCUUGGUUUGGGACACUACUUUUCCGGUGGUUUUUACCUUUUGACUUUGGGUUGACCUAGUGUCCCCAGGCCCUCUUACCUCUAGGGGUCAGAUUCUAGUCCUCAUCUCCAGAAGGUGCUUAUUACCCAAAAGACCUGGUGGGAUGCUGUAGACCGGGAGUGUAACCAGACGGGGUAGCUUUAAGAGCUAUUGAUGGAGACUCGCCAGAAAGAGGUGUUUCAUUACAUUCAACACUGGAUUUUUUACGUGAUGUGUAAGCUACUUUAUAUGAUUUACCAGAGUGUGGGGAUGCUGGUGCUUUGUUAUCAUUAUAGGAAUAAUAUGUUUAAAGGUUGGGUGUAAUUCUUGUGUGUUUUCCAAUACUGAUAUAUUUUUUCUCUGAAAGUUGGGAAAUGGAGUAAUGAGGAGAAUACUAGGAUCUUCGACUUUGUCCUCUGCAAUAAAAACAGAAAAUUUACACUUGUCAAACUGCCAUACCGUUAAAAGUAUUAGCUAAAACACACUAAGGGUAGCCAGUUAUGUUGUUUUUUAUAAAAUGGUGAUAUUCAUUUGCAUGAAUAUAGAUCUGCAAAGACACAGACUUGUACCAGACCACACACUAGAAGGUGAAGGGACGACGGCGUUUCAAUCGACAUGAGAAUGGUCCAGGACAGACCGAAACGUCGUCGUCCCUUCACCUUCUAGUGUGUGGUCUGGUCAACAUACUUUAGCCACGUUAUUGUGACUCAUCGCCAGCACACAGACUUGUAUUCUGAUGCAAAUGGCCGAGUGGCAGAUUUUUGUGGAUUUUGUCUGUGAUCUACCCAAGAAAAAGAUCCCUAAAAGAAGGAAAAGAAAGUUGUCCAUGAAUGCAUUAUCAUCACUGCCCCAUGAGUUGGCAAUAUCAUCAUUAAUUAAUGUAUGUAUACACUUUGUUUAUUUAAAUCCUUCUUGAUAUAAUUUCAGCAGCAGCCUUAGUGACAUGCAUAUCACCCAGAGCUUAUCAUUUCCUUAAAAAAUGUGUAGAAUGUUUUGUUUACAUCAGCCAGUCUUAUCUCAUUUGUAUUAUGGAGAUUGCAUUAGCCCCUCUAUUGCAGAGAUGCACACAAAACUGCGAUUUUUUAGAAUGUGAAACGGUGACCAAUGAGCAAAUGAACUCCAUGCAUUGUGCUGAACGGCUAUUGAUUAGCUGUGGAAACCUGAUGCUUGAUGGACCUGUUCGAACAAAUCCAGCCAUGCAUUUGAAGAUGGUAGAAAGAAUCCUGAAAGACAUAAUUUUCAGGUGUCAGAAAUAUGACCCCUGCCAAUACUAACCAGAAGAUACAAGUCACAGUAUACGACAAGAGUAAGAAGAUCACCAAUUGUUCAUAAAAGAACUCUUCUGACACCUACUGAAACGGGUUCAUGAAAAAUUAAUUAUUGUAUUAAACAGUUCUAACAUGAAAUAAAUUCCUACAGUAGCCAUACUUGUACAAUAAAAAUGAAAGCUCUUGCUAUCAGCAUGUAUGUCUCAACUUGUUUAAUAUUCAUUGCUCAUACAGUACUACUGUACAGUAUAGUGAUUUUGUAUUGUCCCGAGUCUUUGAAGCAUGUUUACUUAAAUACUGCUGUGUAUACUGUACUGUACAGUAAUUUUGAACAAAUAUAAAUAUUUUUAUUUUACCAAUUACUGCAUAUAUAUACACGUGUUAUUGUUGUUGUUGUUGAAGAGCAGUAAGGUUACCUUGGGCACGAUACUAGCUUGAGAGGCACAGUGGAGGAAGCCGCGGCUUCCUCACAAUUUCCCUUAACAUCAUAACUCAUUAUUUGUGUUCAUAUAUUUUUGGUAUCUUGAAAUUAUACCCUCAAGGUAGGGGAUAAUAUACAUAGUUAUUUUGAUAUAUUUGUAUAUUUCAUUACAAUUUUAUAAUAGUAUGAUACCCUGUAAGGUAAGGUCUAGAGAGUAUUUCCCUUAACUCGUCAGUCAUUAUUCUGGUGCAUAAUAUUUAGUAUGAAGGUUCUCUCGUCAGAGACUCAAACCCCCUCCCCCCCUCCUUGGAAACUUUUGCUGUAUAAUGUAAAAGAAAAUGUAAAAAUUGUCAUUUCUCUAGUUUUCUUUGUGAUAUUUUAAACUGAGCAUUAUUUUCCAAAUGUAAGAUGCAAGUGUUAGUUUUAGUGUGUUGUUUAAGCCAAACUUCCAGGUACGCUGUGGAGGACUCAACAUAACUCCUUGUUAUGCUGUAUAAGAGCUGCUGCUCCUCCAUGUAUCCUACCUACUCACAUGUACAGUUUUGAAGACUAAACCAUACAUCACAAGAUGAGGAGACGACGACAUUUCAGUCCGUCCUGGGCCAUUCAACUUGGUCCAGAACGGAUUGAAACGUUGUCGUCUCCUCAUCUUCUGGUAUGUGGUUAAGUCUUCACAUCUUCAGCCACGUUAUUGUCACUCAUCGUCUGCAUAUGUACAGUUUUCUUUCACCUUUUUACAGUGACUUGUGUGUUGAAAAUGUUCCCCUGUAAUUUUAUAAUGGAUAACUUGUAAACCAAUGUAAUUUCAAAUUUUGCCUAUUAAAGAUGUCUGAUCCUAACCUUCCCUGAAAUAUCAAGGCCCAACUGGAGGACAAGUGUUAUCAGCUAAUGGUGCCCAUAACAUUUCCAAUUCAGUUUUGUACAUUAUACUGCAUUGUGGUUACGAUGGUUUCAUUUGAGUGUUUGGAUGUUGUUAGUACAUGUUAAUCAGACCUGUGCUUUCCUUUGUGUACCAGUGCCACUGUUUCCCAGUAAGUUACAUUGCACUUUUAAUGUUGUUUGAAAAUGUUUUGGGGCUAGCCCUCGGUAGCUCUCCAAUGCAUUGGCUCUGGUACAACAGAGACAUGUACAAAACUACCAGGUCUCUGAACUACCAGGCCUCUGGACUUGCAUAGGCCUUUUGAGCUCCAGGACCAGAAUCUAGUGUGCUUGAAUAUGCAAGGGAAGCAUUGGGGAGCUUGCGAUCCACUUCAAAACUACCUGGAUCUCAAGAUCCCCAGUGCUUCUCUUGCCGAUUUAAGCACACUAGAUUCUGGUGUGCUUAAACAUUCAGAAAUUAGAGGCAAAACCAAGUGAACAACAUUUCUUGAUUGAAGAGAGAGAUGGAUACAAGGCAAGCUGUAGUUCACUCAAUGUCAACAAACCGUAGUUCACUCAAUGUCAACAAACCGUGUGCUAUUAUCCAAGUACACCAGCACAUGGCAGCUCAGGUCACCCAAAGGUUCAACUUGCCUGUUUGCUUCACUUGCACGCCUAACACCAUUCUACUACUACUAUGUAAGGACCACCUCUUGUUACUUAAAGCUAAGUGUGGUUAAUGUUCCUUGGUUGUUCCAUGAGAAGCCAUGCUUUAUAUAUAUAUACUGUAUGUGUAUAUAUAUAUAUCUCUUCCUGAGUUGCUGCCUGUGUGUCUUGAGCACUGCUUUGGACGGGAGGGGGGGAAGAAUGGUGCCCAAUCAUUUGGACGGUCGGGGAUUAAACGCCGACCUGCAUGAAGCGAGACCGUCGCACUACCGUUCAGCCCAAGGGGUUGGAUAGGUCCAUGUGGAACUUGAAAAUCUUUCAAGUCGCUGACUUCAUCCUCUUCAGGCUCUGGCUUUCAGGCUUACUAACCCCAUGGGUCAGACCUCCAUCUUUGUCCCUAAAUUAACCCGUAUCUUUUGGCCCGGAGACGGUUUUCCCUCUAUGGCACUGUUAAGCGUAUGCAUUCUAAAGCUGCUGAGGGUCAGUUCAGAAAUCAAGAGUUUAAUGUUUAAUCCCUCUUUUUUUUUUUAGGGGGGGGGCUCUGCAGCUGUACAUUCACCAUUCUUUCCUGUGGGGAUCAGGGGGCAUUUGGGAGUUGACAUGGGUUAGUAAGGCAAGCAGGCAGAUUGACACUGAGCAAACUACAUCUUCCCUUAAUUCCAUUUUCUUUCUUUAAUCAAGGUAUGUAGUUUGCUAUGCUUUGCCUGUACUUUUUAGACAUGUGACAUGACAAACUUUAUUCAGUUUUAAGAGUGAUCUCAGGAUCUAAUUGCUCUCCCUUGCCUCUUAUGCACACUAAACUCUGCUCCUGGUGCUCAAUAGGCCUGGCAGGCUGUGGAUGUCUCUGGCACUAAUGCAGUGUGGCAAGUCGAAUUGUUUGUUGCAACUCGAGGCACAUUCAUUGUUAAUUAAAAUUUGUCAAGACAUAAAAAAGUAAGUUCAGGUUCCCUGCACAUGAUUAACAGCACUUAGUAGAUUUUGAAAAAAAAAGUCACAUGUACAAAAUAUUAUCUUUGACUUAAUUUAAAGAUUUAAAUAAAAAUACUUUGGAACUGAAAACAGAAUCGAUUAAUUAUGGUACAAAACUGAAUGGAUCAUAAAUAUAUUAUCAGCUGCCUCAUGAAUGUACCUAAUGGGCAUUGAUUAAUUGAAGAUGUUUUCUUGAUUUUCUUAAACUUUAAAGAUUUGUUAUUAAGAAGAUGAUUAUUUUAAACCUAAUUCUUUAAUUGUUAGCUGUUGUAUCUCUAAAAAAUCAAUUAUUUAAUGAUUUCUUGUUAUCAAACACAGUAGUAUAAGAAAAAAUUAUGGAUUGAUUAACAAAUACUUAAACUCAAAUAUUGACAAUUUGCUUCAUAAGCCAAGUCACAUUUUAGUGCUUGUGUAGAUUGACUUACCCAAGGGGACAUGUGACAUGAUUUUAAAAUGAAAUCAUACUUGAAAUUGGAUUUAUUGAAACAAAUUCUGGCCUACAGUACACUAUGGUACGGUAUUUUUUUUGUGGAUUGGAUCAGCUUCUUUGUUAGUGUCAAAUGUGAAAUAAUAAAUAUUAUACUUAACCUAAUGAGUAAAGUGCAGACAUUUGUUCAGUUGAGUAAUUGCCACUGAGAGGAACAGCUUCAGUAUUCAGUAGAUUUUAUGUUUGGUGUUCUACUUGGUAAUUCUUUAAAAGAAUAUCUUGGAUUUUCUUACUUAGAAUGUAGCAUUUGAACAAAAAUUUUAGUUUUAAAAUUGCUUUUGGCAAAUUAGAUAGUUUAUUUUUACUGUGUCGAGGGGAUUGAGUGCUUUCACUAUGUGCUAUAUGAACUACCAACCCACCGAGUAUCCUUGUCAUAGUAAAGGUGCUUUUACAAAAAAAAAAAUACAGUAAAACACUUUAAUCCUCUUGUAAUGAGUAUCUAGCACUUGCUAAAUGUUGUUAAAUCUUUGGUUAGAUAUGAAAAAUGUCUUUUUUUUUUUUCAUUUUUUUUAAGAAGAAGAAGAAGAAACCGAUUUUAAUUUCAGCAGUUUUUUCUGAGCAAUAUUGUAGGCAAGUUAAGGAUUACAGGACAAACUAAAUACAUAAUCUCAGGUCUUUCUGGUAUUUUUUCUGACAUUUAUAAAUGCUGUGUAAUGUUGAUUAAAGAUUUUUUUGUAAUAACGAGUUAGUUACCCACCUGUGGUUGCAUCACAAGUCAUCUGGUGUGCUGUAUUUGUGCGUGUAACAGAGAACACCAUGUGAUUGACGGAUUGGUUCCAUCAAUAGAGAAUACCUAUCGAUGGAUGUAUUUAUGUUUGCAACACAAAGUAGCGUAAAUUAAUAUGCUACUAUGUAAUUCCAACUCGUGUCAAAUUCCAUCUCGUCAUACCUGUUGAAGUAGUAUUGCAGAGGGAAAAUAUAAAAAAGUAACUACUCGCAAA